rnacentral:rRNA from 1 species
UUGGAGGGCAAGUCUGGUGCCAGCAGCCGCGGUAAUUCCAGCUCCAAUAGCGUAUAUUAAAGUUGUUGCAGUUAAAAAGCUCGUAGUUGAAUUUCGGGAUCAAUAUAUCGGUCGUGCCUUGGUACGUACUGGUAUCAUUGGUUUCUCCUUUCUGACGAACCAUGAUGUCAUUAAUUUGGUGUUAUGGGAAGUUAGGACUGUUACUUUGAAAAAAUUAGAGUGUUUAAAGCAGGCUCACGCUUGAAUACAUUAGCAUGGAAUAAUGAAAUAGGACGUUCGAACCUAUUUUGUUGGUUUCUAGGAUCAACGUAAUGAUUAAUAGGGAUAGUUGGGGGCAUUAGUAUUCAAUUGUCAGAGGUGAAAUUCUUGGAUUUAUUGAAGACUAACUACUGCGAAAGCAUUUGCCAAGGAUGUUUUCAUUAAUCAAGAACGAAAGUUAGGGGAUCGAAGACGAUCAGAUACCGUCGUAGUCUUAACCAUAAACUAUGCCGACUAGGGAUCGGAUGAUGUUAAUUUUUUAAUGACUCAUUCGGCGCCUUACGGGAAAC